rnacentral:rRNA from 1 species
AUUGAACGCUGGCGGCAGGCCUAACACAUGCAAGUCGAACGAGUGGCGGACGGGUGAGUAAUGUCUGGGACACUGCCUGAUGGAGGGGGAUAACUACUGGAAACGGUAGCUAAUACCGCAUACCAUCGGAUGUGCCCAGAUGGGAUUAGCUAGUGGUUGGGGUAAAGGCUCACCUAGGCGACGAUCCCUAGCUGGUCUGAGAGGAUGACCAGCCAAACUGGAACUGAGAGACGGUCCAGACGCCGACGGGAGGCAGCAGUGGGAAAUAUUGAACAAUGGGCGCAAGCAUGAUGCAGCCAUGCGGCGGGUAUGAAGAAGGCCUUCGGGUUGGAAAGUACUUUCAGCGGGGAGGCGUUACCCGCAGAAGAAGCACCGGCUAACUCCGUGCCAGCAGCCGCGGUAAUAC